AGAGUUUGAUCCUGGCUCAGGAUGAACGCUAGCGGCAGGCCUAAUACAUGCAAGACGAACGGUAUAUUGAGUAGCAAUACUUGAUUGAGAGUGUCGUAAGGGUGCGUAACACGUAUGCAAUCUACCCUCAACAGGAGUAUAGCUCGGGGAAACUCGGAUUAACCCUCCAUAAGAUCAUGGUCCGGCAUCGGACAGUGAUAAAAACUACGGUGGUUGAGGAUGAGCAUGCGCAUGAUUAGUUAGUUGGAGGUGUAACGGACCCCCAAGACGAUGAUCAUUAGGGGAACUGAGAGGUUGAUCCCCCACACUGGCACUGAGAUACGGGCCAGACUCCUACGGGAGGCAGCAGUAGGGAAUAUUGGUCAAUGGGUGAGAGCCUGAACCAGCCAUGCCGCGUGCAGGAAGACGGCCUUCUGGGUUGUAAACUGCUUUUAUCUGGGGAUAAAAUGAUCGUGCGCGAUUAAUUGAAGGUACCAGAUGAAUAAGCACCGGCUAACUACGUGCCAGCAGCCGCGGUAAUACGUAGGGUGCAAGCGUUGUCCGGAUUUAUUGGGUUUAAAGGGUGCGUAGGCGGUCUAUUAAGUCAGUGGUGAAAUCCAACAGCUCAACUGUUGAUGUGCCAAUGAUACUGAUGGACUUGAGUACAGACGAGGUAGGCGGAAUUGACAGUGUAGCGGUGAAAUGCAUAGAUAUUGUCAAGAACACCGAUAGCGAAGGCAGCUUGCUAGCCUGUAACUGACGCUGAUGCACGAAAGUGUGGGGAUCAAACAGGAUUAGAUACCCUGGUAGUCCACACUGUAAACGAUGAUUACUCGAUGUUGGCGAUACACAGUCAGCGUCUUAGCGAAAGCGAUAAGUAAUCCACCUGGGGAGUACGCUGGCAACAGUGAAACUCAAAGGAAUUGACGG
rnacentral:rRNA from 1 species